AUGUGUCGGUCUAUCUCUGUUCUCUCCUCUCUGCACAGGCCAUACAAACGCUUCACAUCGCGUGGCCGCUGCCACUCUAACCUGGUGGUCCCAGCGCGCACGACCCACGUGGAGUUCCAGGUCUCCGGCAGCCUCUGGAACUGCCGGUCUGCGGCCAACAAGGCAGAGUUCAUCUCAGCCUAUGCUACCCUUCAGUCCCUCGACUUCUUGGCGCCGACGGAAACAUGGACUACCACAGAAAACACUGCUACUCCUACUGCUCUCUCCUCGUCUGACCACGUGUUCUCACACACCCCGAGAGCAUCUGGUCAGCGGGGUGGUGGCACUGGAAUCCUCAUCUCUCCCAAGUGGACAUUCUCUCUUUCUCCCCUGACCCAUCUGUCUAUCUACUCCUUUGAAUUCCAUGCUGUCACAAUCACUAACCCAUUCAAGCUUAACAUCCUUACCAUUUAUCGCCCUCCAGGUUCCCUUGGAGAGUUCAUCAAUGAGCUUGACGCCUUGAUAGGUUCCUUUCCUGAGGAUGGCUCCCCCCUCACAGUUCUGGGUGACUUUAACCUCCCUACGUCUACCUUUGACUCAUUUCUCUCUGCCUCCUUCUUUCCACUCCUCUCCUCUUUUGACCUCACCCUCUCACCGUCCCCCCGUCCCCCCCCACUCACAAGGCAGGCAAUACGCUUGACCUCAUCUUCACUAGAUGCUGUUCUUCUACUAAUCUCACUGCAACUCCACUCCAAGUCUCCGAUCACUACCUUGUAUCCUUUUCCCUCUCGCUCUCCUCCAACACUACUCACUCUGCCCCUACUCAGAUGGUAUUGCGCCGUCGCAACCUUCGCUCUCUCUCUCCUGCUACUCUCUCCUCUUCCAUCCUAUCAUCUCUUCCCUCUGCUCAAUCCUUCUCCAACCUAUCCCCUGAUUCUGCCUCCUCAACCCUCCUCUCCUCCCUUUCUGCAUCCUUUGACUCUCUAUGUCCCCUAUCCUCCCGACCGGCUCGGUCCUCCCCUCCUGCUCCGUGGCUGGACGACUCAUUGCGAGCUCACAGAACAGGGCUCCGGGCAGCCUAGCGGAAAUGGAAGAAAACUAGCCUCACUGCGGACCUGGCAUCUUUUCACUCCCUCCUCUCUACAUUUUCCUCCUCUGUUUCUGCUGCUAAAGCCACUUUCUACCACUCUAACUUCCAAGCAUCUGCCUCUAACACUAGGAAGCUCUUUGCCACCUUCUCCUCCCUCCUGA
rnacentral:lncRNA from 8 species